GACGGAGGGGGCUAGCGUUGUUCGGAAUUACUGGGCGUAAAGCGUGCGUAGGCGGCCUUUCAAGCUGGGUGUGAAAGCCCGGGGCUUAACCCCGGAAAUGCGCCCAAGACUGUUUGGCUAGAGUCUCGGAGAGGUGAGUGGAACUCCCAGUGUAGAGGUGAAAUUCGUAGAUAUCAGGAGGAACACCGGUGGCGAAGGCGGCUCUCUGGACGGUGACUGACGCUGAGACGCGAAAGCGUGGGGAGCAAACAGG
rnacentral:rRNA from 1 species